GCUAGAUAGCUCAGCUGGUUAGAGCAUGGUGCUGAUAAUGCCAAGGUCACAGGUUUGAUCCCCGUAUGGGACAGCUGCA
rnacentral:tRNA from 1 species